rnacentral:tRNA from 1 species
GCCGGGGUGGCGGAGUGGUUAUCGCGCUAGCCUCGAGAGCUAGUGGGCUUCGUGCUCGCAGGGGUUCGAAUCCCUUCCCCGGCGCCA